CAGUAGCCGCGGUAAUACGUAGGUCCCGAGCGCUGUCCGGAUUUAUUGGGCGUAAAGCGAGCGCAGGCGGUUAGAUAAGUCUGAAGUGAAAGGCAGUGGCUCAACCAUUGUAGGCUUUGGAAACUGCUUAACUUGAGUGCAGAAGGGGAGAGUGGAAUUCCAUGUGUAGCGGUGAAAUGCGUAGAUAUAUGGAGGAACACCGGUGGCGAAAGCGGCUCUCUGGUCUGUAACUGACGCUGAGGCUCGAAAGCGUGGGGAGCGAACAGGAUUAGAUACCCCGGUAGUCCCUGUCUCUUAUACA
rnacentral:rRNA from 1 species